CAACUUUAAAUGCUGCCGCUGUCAGGAAUUCGAGAGACCUUACUUCCGGUUCUGAGACUGGUUUCCGGUGCUCUGGAAGAAGUCAGCAGAAAUGAGCCAAUGGACGAUUAGAGAGAGGAAAAUGUGGCGUGAUGUCAUAAGGUGGAGCCCAGGAGGUCUGAUUAAUUCUUGUCUGCACAGAAGUUUUGUGUACGAGUCAUGCUGCCCUUAGCUGCACUAUUGUCUCGCCAUCCAAGACGUCACAGCCAGCAUCACGGAUCACUGAGACCUCUGCUGUGGCCACUGGUGUAUGAAGCUGUUCCUUUCCCACACACCAACUGCUGGCUCUUCAGACACUGUGGGCUAGUCUCAUGGUCCCCAAUCAGGAUAACACCACAGCAGUUCUGCCCAGGCCCAGCUCUGCAGUCUGCAGACACCAUCUCCUACAAUCUCUCCUCGGCUGACACCACCACUGCCAUCAGGUCCCUGGCAAUACUGACCCUGGGCCAGCCUCCUGCUGCUCCUGUCAUGCCUGCCUCUUCUCCAUUGGCCCACACCUCAGCCCAGUGAGCUUCCUCAAAUACAAAUCUCCAAUCAAGCCAGUCUUCUGCUUAGGUCUCUACAGCUGACUGUUGGUGUCUGCCCAAAUCCCCUGCAACUUCCUUUUUCCAUUUUUGGGCCUGAUGCCCACUUCAGUAUGCAUUCACAGCUGAUACACCUGUGGCUCCUGAAAAACUGCCCUUGGCCUCCUGAAGCCAUAGUGCUCUGGGUGGCAGUGUAACCAGUUGCUGAGUAGGCAAGGUAGCCCAGAAGGGCUCUUGUAAUCAGUUUGGGAAAAAGCAUUUCAGGUGACACUACUCCAUGAGGAAGGGUAAGAGUGUGUCAAUGGCAACAGCUAGUUCUCUGCCCCUCACUUGGAUUCAGAUAGUACCUUCUUCCCCAGUUCCAGGAAACCAUAAACACCAAGGACU